rnacentral:snoRNA from 1 species
AGCAUCCACUUUUCUUACCCAUAAGAUCUAAACACUGGUCUGAGAGGUUAUAAAAGCAGGAACCAUAAUAUAGUAACUGACUUCAAUUUUUUGUGUGACACACGAGCUAGUUUCAAAGAAAC